CAACCCUCAAGCCCUGGCUGCUUGGUGAUGGGGUAGUUUCUGCAGCGUUCUGCUGUAGGCCCUGAAAAUCUUUGGCGGGCAUGUUGUGACCCCGAGCGUAGUAAAAUCAUUCUCGCUUAGGGGCACAUGGCAUGUUUUCUAGCCAUUAAACCAACUAUAAUUUUAGAA
rnacentral:misc_RNA from 1 species